UACGGGGGGAGCAAGCGUUGUUCGGAUUUACUGGGCGUAAAGGGCGCGUAGGCGGUCGUGACAAGUCACUUGUGAAAUCUCCGGGCUUAACUCGGAACGGUCAAGUGAUACUGUCGGACUAGAGUACAGAAGGGGCAACUGGAAUUCUCGGUGUAGCGGUGAAAUGCGUAGAUAUCGAGAGGAACACCUGCGGCGAAGGCGGGUUGCUGGGCUGAUACUGACGCUGAGGCGCGAAAGCCAGGGAGGCGAAACGGG
rnacentral:rRNA from 1 species